AUUGAACGCUGGCGGCAUGCUUUACACAUGCAAGUCGAACGGCAGCGCGGGCUUCGGCCUGGCGGCGAGUGGCGAACGGGUGAGUAAUGCAUCGGAACGUGCCCAGUAGUGGGGGAUAGCCCGGCGAAAGCCGGAUUAAUACCGCAUACGACCUGAGGGUGAAAGCGGGGGACCGAAAGGCCUCGCGCUAUUGGAGCGGCCGAUGUCGGAUUAGCUAGUUGGUGGGGUAAAGGCUUACCAAGGCGACGAUCCGUAGCUGGUCUGAGAGGACGACCAGCCACACUGGAACUGAGACACGGCCCAGACUCCUACGGGAGGCAGCAGUGGGGAAUUUUGGACAAUGGGGGCAACCCUGAUCCAGCCAUGCCGCGUGCGGGAAGAAGGCCUUCGGGUUGUAAACCGCUUUUGUUCGGGAAGAAAUCCUCUGGGCUAAUACCCCGGGGGGAUGACGGUACCGGAAGAAUAAGCACCGGCUAACUACGUG
rnacentral:rRNA from 1 species